AACUCAGGGAACUGAAACAUCUAAGUACCUGAAGGAAGAGAAAGAAAUUCGAUUCCGUAAGUAGCGGCGAGCGAACGCGGAUUAGCCCAAACCAAUAAAGUUUUCUUUAUUGGGGUUGCGGACAUAUCAUAACGAAGAGGUAUCGUAAUUGAAGAGGUUUGGAAAGACCCACCACAGAAGGUAAUAGUCCUGUAUGUUAAACGAGAAGACUUUAGAUAUGAUCCAGAGUACCACGGGACACGUGAAACCCUGUGGGAAGCAGGAGGGACCACCCUCCAAGGCUAAAUACUACCUAGUGACCGAUAGCGUAUAGUACCGUGAGGGAAAGGUGAAAAGAACCCCGGGAGGGGAGUGAAAUAGAACCUGAAACCCUGCACUUACAAGCUGUGGAAGCACAUUUCUUGUGUGACCGCGUACUUUUUGUAGAACGGGCCAACGAGUUACGUUAAGUAGCAAGGUUAAGCACUUAAGGUGCGGAGCCGUAGCGAAAGCGAGUUUUAACUGAGCGUUCAGUUACUUGACGUAGACCCGAAACCGGG
rnacentral:rRNA from 1 species